rnacentral:lncRNA from 1 species
ACACUUUAUAUGAAGGGGUUUACAUAACACCUUUCUAAAAAAACAAACAGUCAUAACACAUUUACUUCUGAAGUAUCAUUCAUAACAACCACCAUAACACAUUUACUUCUGCAGUAUCAUUCAUAACAACCACCAUAACACAUUUACUUCUGGCUAUAUUCUAACAACCACCAUAAAACAUUUACUUUGCAGUAUCAUUCAUAACAACCACCAUAACACUUUACUUCUGCAGUAUCAUUCAUAACAACCACCAUAACACAUUUACUUCUGCAGUAUCAUUCAUAACAACCACCAUAACACAUUUACUUCUGCAGUAUCAUUCAUAACAACCACCAUAACA